GCCAGGAGGUGCGCAGGUAUUGCAACACGUGCGAUACCUGUCAAAGGGUGGGGAAAAGGGGGGACCGGCGCAAGGCCAAGUUACAUCCCCUCCCCAUAAUCGAGGAACCCUUUAGCAGGGUAGCAGUAGACCUAAUAGGACCCCUCAACAAAGCAAGCCCGUCAGGUAAAAGAUUUAUCCUGACCGUAGUAGAUUAUGCCACUAGAUAGCCAGAGGCGGUG